rnacentral:rRNA from 1 species
AACGAACGCUGGCGGCAGGCCUAACACAUGCAAGUCGAGCGCCCCGCCAGGGGAGCGGCGGACGGGUGAGUAACGCGUGGGAAUAUGCCCUUUGCUACGGAAUAGUCUCGGGAAACUGGGGGUAAUACCGUAUACGCCCUUUGGGGGAAAGAUUUAACGGCGAAGGAUUAGCCCGCGUUGGAUUAGGUAGUUGGUGGGGUAAUGGCCUACCAAGCCGACGAUCCAUAGCUGGUUUGAGAGGAUGAUCAGCCACACUGGGACUGAGACACGGCCCAGACUCCUACGGGAGGCAGCAGUGGGGAAUCUUAGACAAUGGGGGCAACCCUGAUCUAGCCAUGCCGCGUGAGUGAUGAAGGCCUUAGGGUUGUAAAGCUCUUUCAGCUGGGAAGAUAAUGACGGUACCAGCAGAAGAAGCCCCGGCUAACUCCGUG